rnacentral:rRNA from 1 species
CAGUCGCCGCGGGAAUACAGAGGGUGCGAGCGUUAAUCGGAUUUACUGGGCGUAAAGCGUGCGUAGGCGGCUUUUUAAGUCGGAUGUGAAAUCCCUGAGCUUAACUUAGGAAUUGCAUUCGAUACUGGGAAGCUAGAGUAUGGGAGAGGAUGGUAGAAUUCCAGGUGUAGCGGUGAAAUGCGUAGAGAUCUGGAGGAAUACCGAUGGCGAAGGCAGCCAUCUGGCCUAAUACUGACGCUGAGGUACGAAAGCAUGGGGAGCAAACAGGAUUAGAUACCCCCUAGUCCCUGUCUCUUAUACC